GUGAAGGACGGGCGCGGAGGAGGGGUAAGGGGUAGUGGGCUAGCGUGUUGCGGAGUGAGUGGGCGUAAAGAGAGGGUAGGCGGCCGGGGAGGUCUGCUGUGAGAGCUCGAGGGUCAACCUCGAGACGUCGGCGGAAACCAGCUGGCUAGAGUCCGGAAGAGGAGAGUGGAAUUCCUGGUGUAGCGGUGAAAUGCGCAGAUAUCAGGAAGAACACCCGUGGCGAAGGCGGCUCUCUGGGACGGUACUGACGCUGAGACGCGAAAGCGUGGGGAGCGAACAGGAUUAGAUACCCGUGUAGUC
rnacentral:rRNA from 1 species